rnacentral:rRNA from 1 species
UUAGAUACCCUGGUAGUCCACGCCGUAAACGAUGAGUGCUAGGUGUUGGAGGGUUUCCGCCCUUCAGUGCUGAAGCUAACGCAUUAAGCACUCCGCCUGGGGAGUACGGCCGCAAGGUUGAAACUCAAAGGAAUUGACGGGGGCCCGCACAAGCAGUGGAGUAUGUGGUUUAAUUCGAAGCAACGCGAAGAACCUUACCAGGUCUUGACAUCCAACUAACGAAGCAGAGAUGCAUUAGGUGCCCUUCGGGGAAAGUUGAGACAGGUGGUGCAUGGUUGUCGUCAGCUCGUGUCGUGAGAUGUUGGGUUAAGUCCCGCAACGAGCGCAACCCUUGUGAUUAGUUGCUACGCAAGAGCACUCUAAUCAGACUGCCGUUGACAAAACGGAGGAAGGUGGGGACGACGUCAAAUCAUCAUGCCCUUUAUGACCUGGGCCACACACGUACUACAAUGGCCGUUAACAGAGGGAAGCAAGACCGCGAGGUGGAGCAAAACCCUAAAAACGGUCCCAGUUCGGAUUGUAGGCUGCAACCCGCCUACAUGAAGUUGGAAUUGCUAGUAAUCGCGGAUCAGAAUGCCGCGGUGAAUACGUUCCCGGGCCUUGUACACACCGCCCGUCACACCAUGGGAGCCGGUAAUACCCGAAGUCAGUAGUCUAACCGCAAGGGGGACGCUGCCGAAGGUAGGAUUGGCGACUGGGGUGAAGUCGUAACAAGGUAGCCGUAUCGGAAG